UGGUGUCAGCCGCCGCGUAAAAACCAGCACCUCAAGUGGUCAGGAGGAUUAUUGGGCCUAAAGCAUCCGUAGCCGGCUUUGUUAGUUUUCGGUUAAAUCUAUGUGCUCAACGCAUAGGCUGCCGAAAAUACUGCAGAGCUAGGGAGUGGGAGAGGUAGACGGUACUCAGUAGGAAGGGGUAAAAUCCUUUGAUCUAUUGAUGACCACCUGUGGCGAAGGCGGUCUACCAGAACACGUUCGACGGUGAGGGAUGAAAGCUGGGGGAGCAAACCGGAUUAGAUACCCGGGUAGUCCCAGCUGUAAACGAUGCAGACUCGAUGAUGCAUUGGCAUAUAGCCAGUGCAGUGUCGCAGGGAAGCCGUUAAGUCUGCCGCCUGGGAAGUACGUACGCAAGUAUGAAACUUAAAGGAAUUGGCGGGGGAGCACCACAAGGGGUGAAGCCUGCGGUUCAAUUGGAGUCAACGCCAGAAAUCUUACCCGGAGAGACAGCAGAAUGAAGGUCAAGCUGAAGACUUUACCAGACAAGCUGAGAGGUGGUGCAUGGCCGUCGCCAGCUCGUGCUGUGAGAUGUCCUGUUAAGUCAGGUAACGAGCGAGAUCCCUGCCACUAGUUGCUAUCACUAUUCUCAGGAGUAGUGGGGCGAAUUAGUGGGACUGCCGUUGUUAAAACGGAGGAAGGAAGGGGCCACGGCAGGUCAGUAUGCCCCGAAACUCUGGGGCCACACGCGGGCUGCAAUGGUAGUGACAAUGAGUUCCAAACUCGAAAGAGAGUGGCAAUCUCUAAACACUACCACAGUUAUGACUGAGGGCUGCAACUCGCCCUCACGAAUAUGGAAUCCCUAGUAACCGCGUGUCAUUACCGCGCGGUGAAUACGUCCCUGCUCCUUGCACACACCGCCCGUCGUUUCAUCGAAGUUUGCUUUUAGCGAGGUGAUGUUUAAUGGCCAUAUCGAA
rnacentral:rRNA from 1 species